rnacentral:rRNA from 1 species
GUAAUGUCUGGGAAACUGCCCGAUGGAGGGGGAUAACUACUGGAAACGGUAGCUAAUACCGCAUAACGUCGCAAGACCAAAGAGGGGGACCUUCGGGCCUCUUGCCAUCGGAUGUGCCCAGAUGGGAUUAGCUUGUAGGUGAGGUAACGGCUCACCUAGGCGACGAUCCCUAGCUGGUCUGAGAGGAUGACCAGCCACACUGGAACUGAGACACGGUCCAGACUCCUACGGGAGGCAGCAGUGGGGAAUAUUGCACAAUGGGCGCAAGCCUGAUGCAGCCAUGCCGCGUGUAUGAAGAAGGCCUUCGGGUUGUAAAGUACUUUCAGCGGGGAGGAAGGGAGUGAGGUUAAUAACCUCAUUCAUUGACGUU